GUCACUCAGCAAACCGCUGUCCGUGCCUGGUACCGCGCACUCUUUUCUACACGCAUGGUGGUCACUCGUCUCCUAACGAACGUCCGCGUUGCCGCAGGCGGAUAGCUUGCGGAAAAAGGGGGACGCGGAAAAACCGAGAGAGUACACAUAGGCAAGAGUGCACGCCAAUAACACAACACAUACACACAAAAAUCAAUCGAGUAGCCAUCCGCA
ensembl:ncRNA F13D11.7 ncRNA